GGAAGAGUAGGGCGUUUAAAGGAACCCAACUACAAAGGUAUUGUGGAUCCUACAGCUGUUUGGUUCUUUGCCUUUAUUGGACAGUGUUCCAAUCUAGCAUAUUAAUACCCUUUCAUUGGAUCCAUCUCAAAAGGGUGCUGCCCGGCUGCACUAAAAAAAAAAAAAAAAGUGGUUUUCUAGACUUCAUCAUCAGACUGUGGUAGAGAUCCCAAGAAAAAAAAUACUGAAGGUUGAACCCCAAAGACAGAGCAGAGAUCAGGAUCUGGGCACAUAGCUACACUGGCAUACAGUAUGAAUCUUUGCAGCGCCUACCAUCAUGAACAGCAUGGUCCACAUUUGUCUAGCAGAUGAGACACCAAAGGAAGUUAACCCAUCUGGAACUGUAUUUUGGGGUAUGAGAAAUGAGGACUUGAUUCUAUGGAUUCACACAGCUUCCUUUGUUAAAUGCACCAUUUGGUCCCAAGCUGUUUCCUGCUGUUAGCCAGCUGUUUCUACGCCUGUGCAGUAAGAGGAACUGUGACUAGGACAGCUCUCGUGGACCUGCCCAAGGUUUCCAGAAGGUAUGCCUUCAGUCUGCCUGGACUUCCAUGGGAACAGGAACGGGAAGCAGGCAGGACAAAGCCACCUCUUGGCUGCCACCUCUUGGCUUCCUCCUCUCCCUCUUGAUGAAACCAGCCAACGCUAUCAAGUCCAUGUCCAGAUGGCAGAGGCACGAUGUGCUCCCUCUCUGCUGCAACCUGAGCUGCAGUCGGAGUGAUCUGAAGCCAGUUAAACAGUACUGGUCUUGCUUGGAGGCAACAUUUAUUGCCUUCUAUCAGUAGUUUUGAACCUCCCUAAUGUUGCAAUCCUGUAAAUACAAUUCCUCCUGUUGUAGUAACUCUCAAUCAUAAAAAUAGUUUCAUUGCU
ensembl:antisense Gm10701 predicted gene 10701